rnacentral:rRNA from 1 species
GUGCCAGCCGCCGCGGUAAUACGGAGGGUGCAAGCGUUAUCCGGAAUCACUGGGUUUAAAGGGUGCGUAGGCGGCCUAGUAAGUCAGGGGUGAAAGGUCACGGCUCAACCGUGGAAUUGCCUUUGAUACUGCUGGGCUUGAAUCAGGAUGAGGUCGGCGGAAUGUGGCAUGUAGCGGUGAAAUGCAUAGAUAUGCCAUAGAACACCAAUUGCGAAGGCAGCUGGCUAGACCUUGAUUGACGCUGAGGCACGAAAGCGUGGGGAGCGAACAGGAUUAGAUACCCCCGUAGUCC